UACGGAGGAUCCAAGCGUUAUCCGGAUUUAUUGGGUUUAAAGGGUGCGUGAGUGGCCUGUUAAGUCAGGGGUGAAAGACGGUAGCUCAACUAUCGCAGUGCCCUUGAUACUGAUGGGCUUGAAUGAACUAGAGGUAGGCGGAAUGUGACAAGUAGCGGUGAAAUGCAUAGAUAUGUCACAGAACACCAAUUGCGAAGGCAGCUUACUAUGGUUUUAUUGACACUGAGGCACGAAAAGCGUGGGGAUCAAACAGG
rnacentral:rRNA from 1 species